rnacentral:rRNA from 1 species
UACAGAGGUGGCAAGCGUUGUUCGGAAUUACUGGGCGUAAAGGGCGCGUAGGCGGCCAUCUAAGUCAGACGUGAAAUCCCCCGGCUUAACCUGGGAACUGCGUCUGAUACUGGACGGCUCGAGUUUGGGAGAGGGAUGCAGAAUUCCAGGUGUAGCGGUGAAAUGCGUAGAUAUCUGGAGGAAUACCGGUGGCGAAGGCGGCAUCCUGGGCCAACACUGACGCUGAGGCGCGAAAGCUAGGGGAGCAAACGGG